AGAGUUUGAUUCUGGCUCAGGAUGAACGCUAGCUACAGGCUUAACACAUGCAAGUCGAGGGGCAGCAUUGGGGUAGCAAUACUCAGAUGGCGACCGGCGCACGGGUGGGUAACACGUAUCCAACCUGCCGCUUACUCGGGGAUAGCCUUUCGAAAGAAAGAUUAAUACCCGAUGGUAUAAAGAGUUCGCAUGUUCUCUUUAUUAAAGAAUUUCGGUAAGCGAUGGGGAUGCGUUCCAUUAGAUAGUUGGCGGGGUAACGGCCCACCAAGUCUACGAUGGAUAGGGGUUCUGAGAGGAAGGUCCCCCACAUUGGAACUGAGACACGGUCCAAACUCCUACGGGAGGCAGCAGUGAGGAAUAUUGGUCAAUGGACGAGAGUCUGAACCAGCCAAAGUAGCGUGAAGGAUGACUGCCCUAUGGGUUGUAAACUUCUUUUAUAAGGGAAUAAAGUGAGGGACGUGUCCCUUUUUGUAUGUACCUUAUGAAUAAGGAUCGGCUAACUCCGUGCCAGCCGCCGC
rnacentral:rRNA from 1 species